rnacentral:rRNA from 1 species
GAUGAACGCUGGCGGCAUGCCUUACACAUGCAAGUCGAACGGCAGCAUGGGUGCUUGCACCUGAUGGCGAGUGGCGAACGGGUGAGUAAUGCAUCGGAACGUACCCGGAAGUGGGGGAUAACGUAGCGAAAGUUACGCUAAUACCGCAUAUUCUGUGAGCAGGAAAGUGGGGGAUCGCAAGACCUCGCGCUUCCGGAGCGGCCGAUGUCGGAUUAGCUAGUUGGCGGGGUAAAGGCCCACCAAGGCAACGAUCCGUAGCGGGUCGGAGAGGAUGAUCCGCCACACUGGGACUGAGACACGGCCCAGACUCCUACGGGAGGCAGCAGUGGGGAAUUUUGGACAAUGGGGGCAACCCUGAUCCAGCCAUGCCGCGUGAGUGAAGAAGGCCUUCGGGUUGUAAAGCUCUUUCGGCCGGGAAGAAAUCGCACAGGUUAAUACCUUGUGUGGAUGACGGUACCGGAAUAAGAAGCACCGGCUAACUACGUGCCAGCCGCCGCCGUAAUAC